rnacentral:lncRNA from 1 species
AAAUUAUAUAAUUAUCUGAUCAUAGUCAUUAUCCUCCUAUCCUUACCCCCACCAUCGCACAUUUGCUUUGUUUUCAGCUUCAAUGGAACGACAACAGAAUCACCUACGAAUGUUGCCAGCACUAUUGCUGCCAUUUUCUCCUCCUCUUCUUCAAUACUCAUACCAUCUCUACUAUCGACACCGCCAACGUUCACUUCUUAUCGAUAAGAUUUGUUAAUGUUUGGGACAACGGUUAACAGGCUAUCGAUAGAUGCAUUUGAGGGGCAACUGUUUCAGAAAAUGGAGCUGGAGUCACGACUAGUGACCUGGGUGAGAGAUGUAUAGCCAUGGGUAUGCAAUGUUGGUGGGUUUGGAUGGUACGGGAUCAUGGUCCAAAACUAAGGACUUUGUAGCACAGUGUCGACUGGUGACUCUCAUAGUUGGAGAUCGAUUGGAUUUUUUUUCAUUCCUCUAUCUUCUCUAGUUUUUAUUCAGUUAUAGCGACGCCUGAAUCGUCUCCAUUCAUUGUCAAAUGUUUGUAGAUCCAAUUUUGAAGGUAGCCGGAAUUUAUUGUCUAGAAAUCUAAAGAUUUUGAUUAUGGAUUAUGCUACAUGUAUAAAUUUUUUUUUACAAACUCUCUUACUCAUUACUUACAAUGG